UAUCUCUGUAGAGUCUGCAUAUCAAUAAGCGGAGGAAAAGAAACUAACUAGGAUUCCCUCAGUAACGGCGAGUGAAGCGGGAAGAGCUCAAAUUUGAAAUCUUCAAGGUUCUACCUUGACGAAUUGUAGUUUAAAGAAGUGUUUUCUGUUGGAGUUUUGGUAAAAGUUCUUUGGAAUAGGACAUCAUAGAGGGUGAGAAUCCCGUAUUUGACCAUUAUUUCCAACUUUGUGAUACACUUUCAAAGAGUCGGAUUGUUUGGGAAUGCAGUCCAAAAUGGGUGGUAAAUUUCAUCUAAAGCUAAAUAUUGGCGAGAGACCGAUAGCGAACAAGUACCGUGAGGGAAAGAUGAAAAGAACUUUGAAAAGAGAGUUAAACAGUACGUGAAAUUGUCAAAAGGGAAGCGUUUGACACCAGUGUUGUUUUCUCGAAAAUCAAUUAAAAAAGAUUGGAUUUUGUGUUGUAUUGACUUUAUCAGCUUUCAGCACUCUUUUUCUUGUCUUUUUUAAUGCACUUUUCGUUUAACAAGUCAACAUCAAUUUCUUUUGUUGUAAAAGGGUCAUUGGAAGGUGGCUUUCUUUUCGGAGAAAGUGUUUAUAGCCUUUGGCCUCUGCAAUCGGAGAGAUUGAGGUCUGCAGCGUAGAUCCUUCGGGGUUAGAUGCAUUUGUGCUAAGUUACAGCCUUUCAUAGACAACUUGUUGACUAUGAUCAGUCAUGUAGCUUACUCGCUUAUGCUAUUUUACCUACGCUUAGGAUGUUGAUCUCUCACAGUCGAGC
rnacentral:rRNA from 1 species